rnacentral:rRNA from 1 species
CCUACGGUGGGCAGCAGUGAGGAAUAUUGGUCAAUGGUCGGGAGCCUGAACCAGCCAAGCCGCGUGAGGGAUGAAGGUACAGCGUAUCGUAAACCUCUUUUGUCAGGGAACAAAGGCGGGGACGUGUCCCCGGCUGAGUGUACCUGAAGAAAAAGCAUCGGCUAACUCCGUGCCAGCAGCCGCGGUAAUACGGAGGAUGCGAGCGUUAUCCGGAUUUAUUGGGUUUAAAGGGUGCGCAGGCGGUCUGUUAAGUCAGCGGUAAAAGCCCGUGGCUCAACCCCGGCCCGCCGUUGAAACUGGCAGUCUGGAGUGGGAGAGAAGUAGGCGGAAUGCGCGGUGUAGCGGUGAAAUGCUUAGAUAGCGCGAAGAACUCCGAUUGCGAAGGCAGCAUGCCGGCUCCAAACUGACGCUGGGGCACGAAAGCGUGGGUAUCGAACAGGAUUAGAUACCCGUGUAGUC